rnacentral:misc_RNA from 1 species
AAAACCGAUAAUUUUUUCAAUGGCAAGGCUUGACCGGGUAAAGAACAUUACCGGAUUAGUUGAGUGCUAUGCUAAAAAUGCCACACUCAGGGAACUGGCUAACCUUGUUGUAGUAGCUGGAUACAACGAUGUAAAGAAAUCCAAUGAUAGAGAAGAAAUAGCAGAAAUUGAGAAGAUGCAUGCUCUUAUGAAGGAACAUAACUUGGAUGGUCAAUUCAGAUGGAUAUCAGCCCAAAUGAACCGGGCACGUAAU